ensembl:lncRNA TNS2-AS1 TNS2 antisense RNA 1
ACAAAGAGCCGAGGGGAGAGAGGGUGCGCAGACGGCCAGCCGGGCCGCGCCAGGGACAUACUGGAGACAGGAAGUGGCUGAGAGGGGGAGAGAGUUGGAGAGAGACGGCCGCGGAGGACACGGGGACGGGAAAGUCUGAGAGACGGGGAGAGCCUGACCCGGCGGGACACAGGCAGAAAGAAACACGCGAGCCAGACAGACGCAGAAGAAACGUGCCUGGUACUGGAUAGGAACUUCAUGGAAUGGAGCUAAUGGGCCGUAGGGCAGGUUUGAGUCGUGCCACCCUGGAGCAGAAGGUGGAGGGUAGGGAUAAGACCUCAUUAUUGCACAGCUGAGAGUGGCUUGAAACAAAGGCUUGGAGAAUGGUGGAGAGAAACUAGGAGAAAAGCACAGGAUGUAGAGGUCUAUUCGGCAUAAUCUUCUCCCUCAUUUUCAUCUUCACCAUCAACAGAGAGAGCAGCAUACUUGCUUGCAGAACUGAACUUCUGUAACACAACGAGAGUGACAGGAUAAUGAAGGCCCUGAAUUAUCACAUCAAAACCCAAGACACAGGAUACUGAUCCUUUGGCAAUGGGGGAUGACAGUCAGAUGACACCCACUUGCUUGCUCAUCAGCAUUGUCCAUUGGAGAGGAGCUAGGGAAGAGGGUCAGAGGCACAUGCGAUCUUACUAUAGUCUCAUACCACCUCUACACCUUGCAGAAGGGAUGAGAACAAAGGAAGACAGAAACCAGGAAAAAGCUAAACUUCUUUCGCUAUUUCAGUAAAGACCAAUGUCUUAUUUCCAAACACUUUGUAUUCCAAAUGGAAAGAAGUCCAACGGCAAAAAGUUUAGAAUACUAAGAAUUUUUAAUUCUUAGUAAGAAUACUUAGAAUUCUAAGAAUUUUUCUUAGAAUGAAAAAUUGGGAGCAGCCUUCAACACUUACGGAAGCUGGAUUUUCCUCAGGUUUCUUUGGCUCAGGUGCAGAUCUGGAGUCUUGAUCCUUUUUGCCAUCUUUCCUGCAGAGACGUAAGCAUAAAACCAUGUCUUUAGGAAAGGACUCGCCUAAUACAAACAUGUGUAUGCAUGCAGUUUCAAGGCACUGAACAGGCACCUCUAGUCAACAGUCCUUGUUGUCUGGAUGAUGUAUUACUUCUAGAUUUUCAGAAUCUUAACUGUCUACGUUGGCUGACUUUAGUUUGCUCACAAUGAGCGAUCUGGCAGUGCUCUGAGAACCAAGAACUUAAUUUCUUAAUUACACAAACAUGUGGAUCAGAGGAAAGAUGAGAAAGAGAACAAGCAUACCUAUCUGACUCCUUCCAGUGGUCUCUGUUCCCUCCGUCGCCUGGACCACGGCUAGAGUUCCCAGUUUGGCCUUUUGGGGCAUUCAUCCCAUCUACUUUAUUUUCAUCUGCUUGGGCAGUAAUGUAAACAAAUUAAAGGCAAGUAAAAGUAUCAAUGUCCCUCUCCUAAGAUUUCCCUUAAGCUGAAGAAAAUUGUGCCCACAUGUACUGAGGGAAACUAACCUCACCCCAACCCAGACUUCCUUCCUGAAGCCCUUCUUUCCACAUCCUCUACAGCACACAAAAAUACAAAAAACAAACAAAAUCCACUAAAAAGUUCCAUGUAGGGAUAUGCCAUCAUGAAAAGCAAGCUGGAAAUAAAGAUUAUGACGCUCUGUAGUGACCUUGGUUAA